AAUUUAGCAACGGAUAAUUCCGUUGCUAAAUUCAGUAACGGAUUUGCAACGGAUUACACAUAUAUUAGUUUUUUAAUAUCAGCAACGGAAUUUAGCAACGGAUUAUCCGUUGCAAAAUUUACGUUGAAUUUAGCAACGGAUUUUCCGUUGCUAAUUAAAAAAUAAUUAUUUAAAUUUUAAUAUAAAACCAAAAUUACGAACACCGUUGAUUACAUUUACAAAUAUUAAAUCUCAACCGUCUAUUUUUCGCUGGCUUUGUAAAUUAACACCAGGAUUGCUCUCCCCCCACACCAUUCAUGUUUACAGAGACGAAAUGAACAAAACCAACAGAUGAAAUUAAUGAUCUUCCACUCUUCCAGUCUCCUUCGUCCCUAACAACAUCGAUCCAUAACUGUAGAAAAAUCAAUCUCUCUUCAUCGAUUUGAUUUUCCUUUAUCCCAAACAUUUCAUCUUCUUCACGUCUUCAGCAACCCUAAUUUCUUUUCUUCAUCUUCUUCUCCUUCAUCCGAACAAAAUCGAACCAGACCCAUCAUUAUCACCAUCGGACAUGCUGAUUUAAGGUAUCUCCUUGUAAACGGGUUGGGUGUUUCACGGUUUUCUUCAAUAGUUCAGGUUUCUUUCUGUCCCUGUAGAACGAUCUCGGUCACCUGUAACUCAAGAACACAGGAGAAACCUCAACUAUUUCAGUUUGUUCCAAAUUAAAAGCAGGUCAAGGCAGCACACCAACUUCUCAAGACUAUUCCACAUAGCUAUGGGAGCAGGAGGGUUGAUGGAGUUCCUGUUUUCAGCAAACAAAAUUCAGAUAUUGCAAUAGCUACCAAAGACGGGAUUAAGUGCAAUAUGAAUGGCUUAUUGGAUCACAAUAUAAAUCAAUAGAGUUGGCUAAGUCUGAUUGGGUUGCAACAAGGAAAUCUCCACCUUGGGCCAUUGAUUAUUGGGGCUUUGCAAUAUGAAUGGCUUAUUGGAUCAUAAUAUAAUCCAAUAGAGUUCGCUAAAUCUGAUUGGGUUGCAAUAAGAAAACCUCCACCUUGUGCCAUUGAUUCUUGGGGCUUAGGUAAGUCUAUUUUGCUCCAUUUUUACAUGGUUGCUUAAUUAUAUCGUGCAUAAUUUUUUUGUUGUGCAUGCCUAUUGUAAUCUUUUCAAGUAGUUCGAACUCUGCCUUUCAUUGGGACAAUAUUGAUAGUUUAUAUAAGAAAACUAAUUGAAUGAUUUUCUUUUAUUAAA